rnacentral:rRNA from 1 species
UACGAAGGGGGCUAGCGUUGCUCGGAAUUACUGGGCGUAAAGCGUGCGCAGGCGGCUCUGCAAGACAGAUGUGAAAUGCCCGGGCUCAACCUGGGAACUGCACUUGUGACUGCAGUGCUGGAGUGCGGCAGAGGGAGAUGGAAUUCCGCGUGUAGCAGUGAAAUGCGUAGAUAUGCGGAGGAACACGGAUGGCGAAGGCAAUCUCCUGGGCCUGCACUGACGCUCAUGCACGAAAGCGUGGGGAGCAAACAGG